rnacentral:rRNA from 1 species
GAUGAACGCUGGCGGCGUGCCUAAUACAUGCAAGUCGAGCGAACGGACGAGAAGCUUGCUUCUCUGAUGUUAGCGGCGGACGGGUGAGUAACACGUGGAUAACCUACCUAUAAGACUGGGAUAACUUCUGGAAACCGGAGCUAAUACCGGAUAAUAUUUUGAACCGCAUGGUUCAAAAGUGAAAGACGGUCUUGCUGUUACUUAUAUAUCGAUCCGCGCUGCAUUAGCUAGGUGGUAAGGUAACGGCUUACCAAGGCAACGAUUCAUAGCCGACCAGCGAGAGGGAUCGGCCACACUGGAACUGAGACACCGUCCAGACUCCUACGGGAGGCAGCAGUAGGGAAUCUUCCGCAAUGGGCGAAAGCCUGACGGAGCAACGCCGCGUGAGUGAUGAAGGUCUUCGGAUCGUAAAACUCUGUUAUUAGGGAAGAACAUAUGUGUAAGUAACUGUGCACAUCUUGACGGUACCUAAGCAGAAAGCCACGGCUAACUACGUG